rnacentral:rRNA from 1 species
CUACGGCAUUCCAUAAAAUGCAAGUCGAGCGCAGGAAAUCGACGGAACCCUUCGGGGGGAAUCGAUGGAAUGACUUGCGGACGGGUGAGUAACACGUAAAAAACCUGCCCUCAGGUCUGGAAUAACCACGACAAUCGGGGCUAAUACCGGAUGGGUCAUCGGACCACAUGGUCCGAAGAAGAAAGGCGCUUCCACGUCCCCUGGGGAUGGCUUUGAGAUG